rnacentral:rRNA from 1 species
AACGAACGCUGGCGGCAGGCCUAACACAUGCAAGUCGAACGAAGUCUUCGGACUUAGUGGCGGACGGGUGAGUAACACGUGGGAACGUACCUUUUGGUUCGGAACAACUCAGGGAAACUUGAGCUAAUACCGGAUGAGCCCUUAGGGGGAAAGAUUUAUCGCCGAAAGAGCGGCCCGCGUUAGAUUAGCUAGUUGGUGAGGUAAAGGCUCACCAAGGCUACGAUCUAUAGCUGGUCUGAGAGGAUGAUCAGCCACACUGUGACUGAGACACGGCCCAGACUCCUACGGGAGGCAGCAGUGGGGAAUCUUGCGCAAUGGGCUAAAGCUUGACGCAGCCAUGCCGCGUGAAUGAUGAAGGUCUUAGGAUUGUAAAAUUCUUUUACCAGGGACGAUAAUGACGGUACCUGGAGAAAAAGCCCCGGCUAACUUCGUGCCAGCAGCCGCCGUAAAAC